rnacentral:rRNA from 1 species
AUUGAACGCUAGCGGCAGGCCUAACACAUGCAAGUCGAGCGAGCGGCGCACGGGUGAGUAAUGUAUGGGGACUGCCCGAUAGAGGGGGAUAACUACUGGAAACGGUGGCUAAUACCGCCUACUGUCGGAUACCCCAUAUAGGAUUAGCUAGUAGGUAAGGUACUGGCUUACCUAGGCGACGAUCCCUAGCUGGUCUGAGAGGAUGAACAGCCACACUGGGACUGAGACACGGCCCAGACUCCUACGGAGGCAGCAGUGGGGAAUAGUGCACAAUGGGCGCAAGCCUGAUGCAGCCAUGCCGCGUGUAUGAAGAAGGCCCUAGGGUUGUAAAGUACUUUCAGUCGGGAGGCGUUACCGACAGAAGAAGCACCGGCUAACUCCGUGCCAGCAGCCGCGGUAAUAC